GAGGGUAUAGCUCAGUGGUAAAGGACAUGCUUAGCAUGCAUGAGGUCCUGGGAUGAGGUCCUGGGUUUGAUCCCAAGUACCUCCA
rnacentral:tRNA from 1 species